GCACUGUUGACGAGUCCUAAAUAGGACGAAACAGCUGUUCAGUGC
rnacentral:hammerhead_ribozyme from 1 species